rnacentral:rRNA from 1 species
GACAGAGGGUGCAAACGUUGCUCGGAAUCACUGGGCGUAAAGGGCGUGUAGGCGGGAGAGAAAGUCGGGCGUGAAAGCCCUGGGCUCAACCCAGGAACUGCACUCGAAACUUCCCUUCUUGAGUGCCGGAGAGGAAAGCGGAAUACCUGGUGUAGAGGUGAAAUUCGUAGAUAUUCGGAAGAACACCAGUGGCGAAGGCGACUUACUGGACACAUAUUGACGCUGAGGUGCGAAAGCGUGGGGAGCAAACAGG